UCAGGCCUAACACAUGCAAGUCGAGCGAUGAAGCACCUUCGGGUGUGGAUUAGCGGCGAACGGGUGAGGAACACGUGAGGAAUCUGCCUUCCACUCUGGGAUAACUCCGGGAAACCGGGGCUAAUACCGGAUACUUUCAACUGGCGGCAUCGCCGGUUGAAGAAAGUUUUUCGGUGGAAGAUGACCUCGCGGCGUAUCAGCUUGUUGGUGAGGUAAUGGCUCACCAAGGCAACGACGGGUAGCCGGCCUGAGAGGGGGACCGGCCACACUGGGACUGAGACACGGCCCAGACUCCUACGGGAGGCAGCAGUGGGG
rnacentral:rRNA from 1 species